UCCAUACUGAAUGUCAUCUAUGAUCACAUUUCUCAUUUGUCUUCAUUUUUAGGUUUUUUUACUUCUGGGUAUUUCCAGGUUUUUUCAAAUCACAUGCUAAUUUAGAAACUCUUCAUUUUGCUAGCUUGCAUGUUAUAAAAAUUACUUUUGUGCUGCAAUCUGUGCUGAAGUUAUUUUUUCUCAUAUCAUUUAUUAGUAAUGCAUUUAUACGAAUACCGGUUCAUUUGGGCUAUUGCAGUGACUAACAGGACCUGUUAAUCAGGAUACUCCAUCUAGCUGAACAAAUAAUUUUAAUGAGCUUGAUGUGAUAUAAACCGUAUUUAUAACUGCUUCCCAAAAGCAAACAAUUGUGCAUGCCAUUGUUUCCAAAGCCUCUUGCUGCGUGUUGAGCAUUUGUAACAUGUGAAGAAAAAGAGGGAAGCAAAUGAUGAUUUUCUUACAACCUAAUUGAUUUACUCAGAUUCUUCUUUAUAUAAUACCCCUGUCCCAACCUGAGAACAUCCACUUCAGACGUGUUUCUGUCUGUACCUUUAAGCAAUUCAGGAAUACGUAUAACCAAAUUGCUGAAGCUUGUAUCUAGCCCGUGGAGUGGCUAUUCUGCUUUUUAACUUGAUCUUUUAUCCAAGUUUAACUGAAAUCACUGAGUUGUGAGUAUAAUAUCUUUUAAUGGUAGGGCAGUCAGAAAAUUAAUUUUCCCUGUACAUUGUACCCUCUGUUAAAUGAAGAAUAGUGUGUAGCCAUGUAAUAAAAGAUGCAGAAUCAUAUGUUUCCGCACUUCCAGCUUAGAUGCUGCGUUUCUGUAGCAGUUGUGUCAGGAAAUAAAUCUCAUGAGCAAAACUUUACACUACAUUAUGCUUUGUAGCUCCAAAGAUAAUGAUCAAAGGCUUUUCUCAGAUCGUGUGCUGUAUAAUGUAUGUCCCAGGAAGUUAUUAGGUACUUGUUAAAUACAAAAGUACUGUUUUUAUUUCCUUUGAUUAGAGAGUGGAAAGUUACCGUGUAAACAGGUUUCCAGGUACUUGGCUAAUGAUCA
rnacentral:lncRNA from 1 species